UUGGCUUUGGCAUUUUCUUUCUCUUUCUCCCCUGUCAAACACAGCAAUAGCGAGAGCUUCUGCUAUCAAACGACUGUAACAAAUUGAUGACUUGUUGAUCACAUCGGUCAAGGGCUCACUUUCAACGUGUCGCUGUCUCAAAAAGGAACAAUUUUUGAGCGAAGAAGAUGCAAGAAAUCUCCACUGCUGCUUUGAUUUCCAGACGAAGAUUAUUAGCUCAUAAUUACAGAAAAGGUAUCACUCUUCUUCCCCCCGUCAAUUUCAACUUCAACCCAUUGUUGUCAGCUGAUAACAACAAUACACUUCUGUUUCAUACUCAAAUUUCAACGAACCCUAAUCGUAAUCUUCCUGAUCGGAGGCAACUACGCAAAUUUCUGUUAGAGAAAUCCAAAUUGGGGUUUGGUAAGCUCGAUGAUGCUCUUAGUUUAUUCCAUCGGAUGGUCCAAAUGCAACCCCUUCCUUCGGUUAUCCAAUUCACUAAGCUGUUAACCGGUCUUACCAGGAUGAAGCAUUAUUCCACCGUUAUUUGUCUGUUUAAAGAAAUACGCUUGUUGGGUAUUACCGUUAAUGAUUAUACCCUGAAUGUCUUAAUUAAUUGCCUUUGUCACUUGAAUCGAGUAGAUUAUGGGUUUUCUGUCUUGAGUAGCUUCUUCAAACUUGGUUAUGUACCAUGUGUAACUACUUUCAACACUCUAAUGAAUGGGUUCAUUUUACAAGACAAGACUGGCAAGGCCAUGGAACUGUUUAAUAAAUUGGUAAGAGAGGGAGAAAUCAAACCUGAUGGAGUUAUGUACGGAACUAUUAUAAAUGGGCUUUCCAAGACGGGAAAUACUACAACUGCCAUAGGGAUUCUUAGGAGUAUGCGAAAAUGGAACUAUAAGCCUACUGUUGUGAUGCAUAACGCAAUUAUUGAUGGUCUUUGCAAGGACAAAAAAGUAGAUGAUGCUUUGAGCCUCUUAGUGGAAAUGACCCAGCAGGAUAUUACACCAGAUUUGAUCACUUACAACACUUUGAUUCAUGGAUUAUGUAAUUUAGGCCGGUGGGAGGAAGCAACAAAAAUGUUGAGAGACAUGACAGACAAGAAUGUUUUUCCAGAUGUUCUUACAUUUAAUACAUUGAUAAAUGCAUUAUGCAAGGAAGGGAUGGCAAAAGAAGCAGAGAGUGUUCUUGAAUUCAUGGUCCAAAGAGGUGUUGGUCCUGAUGUAGUCACAUACGGUACAUUGACGUAUGGUUAUUUUUUGCGAGGCCAAAUGGACAAAGCAAUAGAAGUCUUUCGUUCCAUGGUGGAUAAGGGCAUUGAGCCGAACAUUCAUUGCUAUAACAUUUUGAUCAAUGGAUAUUGCAAAAAUAUGAAAAUUGAAGAGGCCAUGAAUCUUUUCCUUGAAAUGCCUUGCAAAGGAUUGAAACCCACAAUUGAUACUUACAAUACUAUGUUGCAGGGAUUGUUUGGGGUUGGUAGCUGUUCGACUGCUGAAGGACUUCUAAAUGAGAUGCAAGCUAAUGGUCAAACUCCAAAUUAUUAUACUUAUUGUGUCCUACUGGAUGGAUUAUCCAAGAAUGGCCGUAUUGAUGAAGCAUUGUUGUUGUUUCAGGAGCUAGAAUGCAGUGGCAUAAAUCCUGAUAUUACUAUGCACAGUAUUUUAAUUGAUAGAUUUUGCAAAGAGGGGAAGCUUGAGAUGGCAAAGAAUCUAUUUGGUAAACUUUCUGCUAAAGGUUUGCAGCCUGAUGUUCGCACUUUUACUAUGAUGAUAGGUGGAUUUUGUGAACAAGGGCUAUUGGGUGAGGCAAAUGAUUUACUUGUGACAAUGGAAGGGACGGGUUGUAUGCCUAAUCAAGCAACUUACAAUGUUAUGGUUCGUGGAUUCCUUAAAGCAAAUGACUACACUGAAGCAAAUAUACUUGCGGAGAAAAUGAUUGGGAGGGGCUUUUCAGCAGAUACAUCUACUUUGGCUGCAAUAGUGGAUCUACUCUCAGUUGAAGGUCUCCUACGCUUUUUCCUAUGAUUAAAAAGUUGGUGCCUCGGGAUAUACUUGAAAUCCGUAACACCAAAGAAAUUUGUUAAGCCGUCAAUAUGGAUGCUAUGUUUGGUGGGCAUAUGUUAGAUAAUUGUUGGUUCCCUACAAUUUGACCUUUGAAGCAUCAUUAUGAAAAUAUCUCUUGGGAAUUUGGUUGGUUAGUUUUUACUAGAUUGUUUUAUCAUUUACCACUUGACACUAUAAUGAAGUGAAGCAAUUCGUUCAAUGCUUUGGAUCAUCGUCUUGUGCAUCCAGUUCCUCCUAAGGUGCGAAUGGUUUAUUGUGUUAGUCCUGAAGCUGUUUGCCAUAAUGGCUGGUUGUAUCAUUUUGGUAAAUUGGCUUUGGAUGGUCCAGAUAUAGCUCGCUGAUUGUGAUAUUUGGGUUUUGGCUGAAGCAAGUUACAACAAUAAUAUGUCAAAGAGACUAGGAGUUAAACAACUGACUGAUGCCAUUGAUGAAGAAGGUCAUGCAGGAAGGAAUGCACAAAUUCAAACUGCAACACAAGACAUUGAAAGUUCCUUGACCGAUCAGUGAUGAGAGAGAGAGAGAGAGAGAGAGAGAGAGAGAUUCCUAAUUGUAUCUGUAUGAAUAUUUAGGGGGUUGGGUUGUUUGUAACUACAAUAUUACAUGAAUGUUCAUGUUCUUAUCUAGUCAUCAAAGGCAGUAAGUUUUCUAGAACUUUGAAAUCUCAAUAUUUGAUAUCGGAUAUGAUAAGUUCUGGCCAA